GAUGAACGCUGGCGGCGUGCCUAAUACAUGCAAGUCGAGCGAACAGACGAGGAGCUUGCUCCUCUGACGUUAGCGGCGGACGGGUGAGUAACACGUGGAUAACCUACCUAUAAGACUGGGAUAACUUCGGGAAACCGGAGCUAAUACCGGAUAAUAUAUUGAACCGCAUGGUUCAAUAGUGAAAGACGGUUUUGCUGUCACUUAUAGAUGGAUCCGCGCCGCAUUAGCUAGUUGGUAAGGUAACGGCUUACCAAGGCGACGAUGCGUAGCCGACCUGAGAGGGUGAUCGGCCACAAUGGAACUGAGACACGGUCCAGACUCCUACGGGAGGCAGCAGUAGGGAAUCUUCCGAAAUGGGCGAAAGCCUGACGGAGCAACGCCGCGUGAGUGAUGAAGGUCUUCGGAUCGUAAAACUCUGUUAUUAGGGAAGAACAAAUGUGUAAGUAACUAUGCACGUCUUGACGGUACCUAAUCAGAAAGCCACGGCUAACUACGUG
rnacentral:rRNA from 1 species